rnacentral:misc_RNA from 1 species
AAGACUAUAGACCUGCGGAGUACCUGCGGAGGGAUCAUUGCAAAAGAUCGCUCGCCAGAAUAACCUUUUGGCUGAGCAAAAGAUCCAACCACUCUUGUCAACCGUUUACCGUCUUUGGUGUCGUAGUGCCCGUCUUGGCCCUUCGGGUGCCCAGGAUUGCGGCGCGUCUUCUCGUCGACCCGCCUUUUUUGGAGGGGACGCGUGGAGGCGGCACCGCUGGUCUGAUGAUCCACGCUUGCC